rnacentral:rRNA from 1 species
GAUGAACGCUGGCGGCGUGCCUAAUACAUGCAAGUCGAGCGAACAGACGAGGAGCUUGCUCCUCUGACGUUAGCGGCGGACGGGUGAGUAACACGUGGAUAACCUACCUAUAAGACUGGGAUAACUUCGGGAAACCGGAGCUAAUACCGGAUAAUAUAUUGAACCGCAUGGUUCAAUAGUGAAAGACGGUUUUGCUGUCACUUAUAGAUGGAUCCGCGCCGCAUUAGCUAGUUGGUAAGGUAACGGCUUACCAAGGCAACGAUGCGUAGCCGACCUGAGAGGGUGAUCGGCGACACUGGAACUGCGAGACGGUCCAGACUCCUACGGGAGGCAGCAGUAGGGAAUCUUCCGCAAUGGGCGAAAGCUUGACGGAGCAACGCCGCGUGAGAGAUGAAGGUCUUCGGGUCGUAAAACUGUGUUAUGAGGGAAGAACAAAUGUGUAAGUAACUAUGCACGUCUUGACGGUACCUAAUCAGAAAGCCACGGCUAACUACGUG